rnacentral:lncRNA from 1 species
GCAAAAUUUUAGGAUGUCGGUAUGUCGGUCAAUUUAUGACGUUUUGUGACGUAGAUUCAAAAUUCCAGCUUAACUUCCGCUUUCUUUCUAAACGCCUGUUCGCAGGCUUUUUCCUUCCUUCGUGAAUCGUUCCUGACAACAAUUUUUCAAAAAUAUCGACUUUUAAUAUUUUGGUGUGUAUUCAUGGGGAUCUUUUGGGCAAAUCAAAUCCAAAGGGGCCGUUCAUAUUAUGUUUUUCAAAAAAGCUGUGAAUUGUGAACUCGCUAUACCUUUACCAAACUUGCUACUUUAUACUAGCGAAGUGUGAUCUCGCAAUCUCGCAUACAUAUUUCUGUCAAAAGAUCAAGCGAACAAGGUAUUGUAUAUCAAAUUUUACAAAUAUAUAUACAGGUUGUAUGUCAAUUAGAAAAUUGCCAAUAAAAAUAGUUAUAUAUUACAGUAAUUUUUGCCUUUUGGGGGCUUAAUUGCCAAAAUUUCAAGCUAGUGGGCCUACAUUAUACUGUAUGAUGUAUAUCAAUAUACCUUAUGCAUAAUGACGUCUCAAGGUGUGAUCACAGAAGAGAUAAUACCAGAAGUCUUACUCAAGCGGAAACAUGUCCCAUCUUUUUUAUUGCGCAUGCGCGAGCUAAACAAGUGUAAUGCAAUGUUGACAAUAGAAAAUUAUAUUGGGAAGUUGUCAUUCCUACAGUAAAAACAGCUUUUUUUCAAGUAGUACGAAAUGUGACUUCGAUUUAUCUGUGGAACUAUUUGAACAGAAGGUAAAGCAGUAAUUUUGUUGUAUUUAGAAAGCAAACAGGGUCAUAUUUUAAAGAAAAUAGCGCACUAAAUAUAAAUUUAAGCAUCAUUAAAAUGUGUUCGCUAUGAUGCCAUUUUGUCUCGAGUAUAUACGGAGUACUGCUUUUAUACUGGUGGAUAUUCGAAUUUAUUUGGCUCAAAAACACCAUUACUUCAAUAUCCCUUUCUUGUUUUUCCUUGGAUAGGUUUUAACAAGAUAGAACUCUAGAUCACUUGGGUCCAAAAACGCUAGAUUAUAAAAUCCUGAUGUGACUUGAUACUACAAAUAGAAUAUGUCUUGUGAUGUAAUACUACAAAUAGAAUGACAAACUUCAAUGAAUUGAUAAAGUGUAAGGAUAGUGUUUAAAGUUGCUUCAUGUGUAGAAGCUGAAUUACUUUAGUUUAUACACUGUAAUGUCGAUAUCACAUGUUGAUGACUUUAAUACUAGCAACUUGCAAUAAGUGGUCUGUCCUGCUUGUUUAUAAUACUUUAGGGUUUGGACAUUAGAACAUUGUAAUUGCCUGACAGAGACUGUUAGGGCCUGUUUGUAUGGAAGCCGGGCUGGCCCGCUUAGCGAGACAGCCCGGUAAGGUAGAUACGCAGGAUGAUUUCUCUUGUGUUUAUUUGAGAAAAUUUCAUCCUGCUUACCAGGACAAUUUUGUUGUUUUGACAGUUGUUAAAAAUAGCUUGCGGCAGUAUCAUUGAACUUUCAUCCUGGCAACUGGGCUAGCCUGCUUGUGAUUGUUUAUAUGGAGAAAUUUCCAUCCUGGUCUCUGCAACAGGGCCUCCCGCUUGUACAUAGAAACAAUUUUAAUUAUAAUUUUUACUAUGAAAAUAAGUAGACAGCGAGAUCUCACUUACCGGGCUGUCUCACUUAGCGGGCCAGCCAGUUUCGAUAUAAACAGGCCCUUAAAAGCUGCAAGUUUCCUUAAAGCAAUAUUGUCUAUAUCACAGAAUACAGUUUCUGUAGUGACAUACUUUGUGUGUUUUCCGUCUUUAAAGUGUCUUAUGUUUGUAAUAUUUUUGUACAAUACCUUUUUGAAAUUGUUGAUACUGGUCUCAUUGUAACUCAGUUAUUCCUUCUCAAGAAAAAUAAAAAAGCAAAGCUGUGUGGGUGUGUUUUUGCUCUAGUUUUUACAUCUACAUGAUUCAUGUACAAUUAAUGUACAUUUAAAUUAGCUUUGUUCAAUGAAUACAGGUGUGAUUCAAAUAUCAUUCCUGUCUGGUACUUGGGUCAAAUAGACAUAAGCAUACCAAAUCAUGCUAUGAAUUGAAAUACAAGUAUAGGG